rnacentral:rRNA from 1 species
GUGUCAGCAGCCGCGGUAAUACGGAGGGCGCGAGCGUUGUCCGGAAUCACUGGGCGUAAAGGGCGCGUAGGCGGCCCUGGUAAGUCUGCGGUGAAAGCCCGGGGCUCAACCCCGGGUCGGCCGCGGGUACUGCCGGGCUGGAGUGCCGUAGGGGCAGGCGGAAUUCCGGGUGUAGCGGUGGAAUGCGUAGAGAUCCGGAAGAACACCGGUGGCGAAGGCGGCCUGCUGGGCGGCGACUGACGCUGAGGCGCGACAGCGUGGGGAGCAAACAGGAUUAGAAACCCUGGUAGUCC